rnacentral:tRNA from 1 species
GGAGCGUUGGCAGAGUGGUAAUGCAGCAGAUUGCUAAUCUGUGAUCGGUAAUACUGAUCCAUAGGUUCGAGUCCUAUACGCUCCGCCA